rnacentral:rRNA from 1 species
CCUACGGGUGGCAGCAGUAGGGAAUAUUGCUCAAUGGGGGAAACCCUGAAGCAGCAACGCCGCGUGAAGGAAGAAGGCUUUCGGGUUGUAAACUUCUUUUCUCAGGGACGAAGCAAGUGACGGUACCUGAGGAAUAAGCCACGGCUAACUACGUGCCAGCAGCCGCGGUAAUACGUAGGUGGCAAGCGUUAUCCGGAUUUACUGGGUGUAAAGGGCGUGUAGGCGGGACUGCAAGUCUGGAGUGAAAGGCGGGGGCCCAACCCCCGGACUGCUCUGGAAACUGUAAAGCUGGAGUGCAGGAGAGGGAAGCGGAAUUCCUAGUGUAGCGGUGAAAUGCGUAGAUAUUAGGAGGAACACCAGUGGCGAAGGCGGCUUACUGGACUGCAACUGACGUUGAGGCUCGAAAGCGUGGGGAGCAAACAGGAUUAGAUACCCGAGUAGUC